rnacentral:rRNA from 1 species
CAGUCGCCGCGGUAAUACGAAGGGUGCAAGCGUUAAUCGGAAUUACUGGGCGUAAAGCGUGCGUAGGCGGUGAGUUAAGUCUGCUGUGAAAUCCCCGGGCUCAACCUGGGAAUGGCAGUGGAUACUGGCUCGCUAGAGUGUGUCAGAGGAUGGUGGAAUUCCCGGUGUAGCGGUGAAAUGCGUAGAGAUCGGGAGGAACACCAGUGGCGAAGGCGGCCAUCUGGGACAACACUGACGCUGAGGCACGAAAGCGUGGGGAGCAAACAGGAUUAGAUACCCCGGUAGUCCCUGUCUCUUAUAC